UGGACCUGAUUCAGACAGACG
rnacentral:rRNA from 1 species